rnacentral:rRNA from 1 species
CACGUAGGGCGCAAGCGUUGUUCGGAAUUACUGGGCGUAAAGCGCACGUAGGCGGCUUUGUAAGUUAGAGGUGAAAGCCCGGGGCUCAACUCCGGAAUUGCCUUUAAGACUGCAUCGCUAGAAUUGUGGAGAGGUAAGUGGAAUUCCGAGUGUAGAGGUGAAAUUCGUAGAUAUUCGGAAGAACACCAGUGGCGAAGGCGACUUACUGGACACAUAUUGACGCUGAGGUGCGAAAGCGUGGGGAGCAAACAGG